UCUAGGUCCUUAUACUGCCCUAGUGCACAAGCCACGUCCCCACGUGUCAGGUGGGCAGAUAAGUAUAAAGGGUUAAUAAGGGCAGGGUGAAGAGCUAGCUACAUCAGUAAGGAGCUGGGGCACUGACUGGAAAGGAAUUAAUCCACCAAAAUUGCAAUUGAUGUUUUGUUUCUUCGUUAGGCACUAAAGAGUAUAGUAGUAAUAGGAAGAAAGACUUCCAAAAUCGUCAUAAUGGUAGCUAAAGUUAACGAGUGUUCUGUGCCAGGCUCUCUUCCAGGCACUUUACCUGCACUUUGCUUGCAUCAUCUCUUCAUUUACUCUUUGCAAGUUUGUGAAGUUACUAUUAUUGACCCACUUUACAGAUGAGAGACCUGAGGCAUUAAACUCAAGAGCAAUAAUUUGGCCAUGAGAGAACAAGUGAAAUUCAAAUGGUGUCAGAAGUGGGAUCUGAAGUAGAGGUUGUAACGAUCCCCAGGAGUGCUGAGUGAACAAGCAAGUUACCUGCAGAAUCCACUGUGUCCUUUGAUCUGUCACAGCAGCUGGGGUUCCUGACUUUCCCUCUUGUUGCCCAGGCUGGAGUGCAAUGGCACA